GAUGAAGAACGCAGCGAAAUGCGAUAAGUAAUGUGAAUUGCAGAAUUCAGUGAAUCAUCGAAUCUUUGAACGCACAUUGCGCCCGUCAGUAUUCUGGCGGGCAUGCCUGUUCGAGCGUCAUUACGCCCCUCAAGUCCCCUGUGGACUUGGUGUUGGGGAUCGGCGAGGCUGGUUUUCCAGCAAAGCCGUCCCUUAAAUUAAUUGGCGGUCUCGCCGUGGCCCUCCUCUGCGCAGUAGUAAAACACUCGCAACAGGAGCCCGGCGCGGUCCACUGCCGUAAACCCCCCCAACUUUUUAUAGUUGACCUCGAAUCAGGUAGGACUACCCGCUGAACUUAAGCAUAUCAAUAAGCGGAGGA
rnacentral:misc_RNA from 1 species